GAUGAAGAACGAAGCGAAAUGCGAUAAGUAAUGUGAAUUGCAGAAUCCAGUGAAUCAUCGAAUCUUUGAACGCACAUUGCGCCCGCCAGCAUUCUGGCGGGCAUGCCUGUUCGAGCGUCAUUUCAACCCUCGACCUCCCUUUGGGGAAGUCGGCGUUGGGGACCGGCAGCACACCGCCGGCCCUGAAAUGGAGUGGCGGCCCGUCCGCGGCGACCUCUGCGUAGUAAACCAACUCGCACCGGAACCCCGACGUGGCCACGCCGUAAAACACCCAACUUCUGAACGUUGACCUCGAAUCAGGUAGGACUACCCGCUGAACUUAAGCAUAUCAAUAAGCGGAGGA
rnacentral:misc_RNA from 1 species